rnacentral:tRNA from 3 species
GGGUCGUUAGCUCAGUUGGUAGAGCAGUGGACUUUUAAUCCAUGGGUCCUGGGUUCGAGCCCCAGACGACCCA